GGACUCCUGGUGUGAGACUUGGAUAUUGGAAAGUUAAUACUUAGCUUAACAAGAUAGUUUAGAUAGUUUAUAGAUUUUAAGAUAAGUCUAAUUUUGGAGUUUUGCAGUCUUGCAAAGGGCAACCUACCCCAAACCUAGGGGCCGGAUUCAUGAGAAUACCACUUCUCAGAUCAUAGAGUCAUAGAUCUACAUUUGAAAGAAACUUCAGAAGCCAGUGCAACUCCUUCAUUUUAUGGAUUAGUGAAUUGAGUGCCAGUUAAGUGACUUGCCCAAGGUCACACAGAUAGUGUCAGAGC
rnacentral:lncRNA from 1 species